rnacentral:rRNA from 1 species
GUUGUGAGGUUAAGCGACUAAGCGUACACGGUGGAUGCCCUGGCAGUCAGAGGCGAUGAAGGACGUGCUAAUCUGCGAUAAGCGUCGGUAAGGUGAUAUGAACCGUUAUAACCGGCGAUUUCCGAAUGGGGAAACCCAGUGUGAUUCGUCACACUAUCAUUAACUGAAUCCAUAGGUUAAUGAGGCGAACCGGGGGAACUGAAACAUCUAAGUACCCCGAGGAAAAGAAAUCAACCGAGAUUCCCCCAGUAGCGGCGAGCGAACGGGGAGCAGCCCAGAGCCUGAAUCAGUGUGUGUGUUAGUGGAAGCGUCUGGAAAGGCGUGCGAUACAGGGUGACAGCCCCGUACACAAAAAUGCACAUACUGUGAGCUCGAUGAGUAGGGCGGGACACGUGGUAUCCUGUCUGAAUAUGGGGGGACCAUCCUCCAAGGCUAAAUACUCCUGACUGACCGAUAGUGAACCAGUACCGUGAGGGAAAGGCGAAAAGAACCCCGGCGAGGGGAGUGAAAAAGAACCUGAAACCGUGUACGUACAAGCAGUGGGAGCACGCUUAGGCGUGUGACUGCGUACCUUUUGUAUAAUGGGUCAGCGACUUAUAUUCUGUAGCAAGGUUAACCGAAUAGGGGAGCCGAAGGGAAACCGAGUCUUAACUGGGCGUUAAGUUGCAGGGUAUAGACCCGAAACCCGGUGAUCUAGCCAUGGGCAGGUUGAAGGUUGGGUAACACUAACUGGAGGACCGAACCGACUAAUGUUGAAAAAUUAGCGGAUGACUUGUGGCUGGGGGUGAAAGGCCAAUCAAACCGGGAGAUAGCUGGUUCUCCCCGAAAGCUAUUUAGGUAGCGCCUCGUGAAUUCAUCUCCGGGGGUAGAGCACUGUUUCGGCAAGGGGGUCAUCCCGACUUACCAACCCGAUGCAAACUGCGAAUACCGGAGAAUGUUAUUACGGGAGACACACGGCGGGUGCUAA